CAGGCUCCUUACUUAAAUAAAUGUUCAUAACAUACUAAAUGUAUGUUCAUAUUGAAAUUGAUAGAAAACCAAAAAUUGGGAACUUUGGAAAGAUGGAGGGUAAAAAAAAACAUUUUCCUGUCCCCAAUAACCUAUGACUUAUGAUACUUUUGCUGAAAUUCUCCAGUCAUUCUGUAUUUAACAAAAUUCUUCCAACAACACUUUACAUACUGAUACUUUAAACUACGCUCUGAAUGCCCGCGAUUUCGCGGGUGUGUUCUAGUAUUAAUUAUUUGGAAAACAAA
rnacentral:lncRNA from 1 species